UACGUAGGGUGCAAGCGUUAAUCGGAAUUACUGGGCGUAAAGCGUGCGCAGGCGGUUCGGAAAGAAAGAUGUGAAAUCCCAGAGCUUAACUUUGGAACUGCAUUUUUAACUACCGAGCUAGAGUGUGUCAGAGGGAGGUGGAAUUCCGCGUGUAGCAGUGAAAUGCGUAGAUAUGCGGAGGAACACCGAUGGCGAAGGCAGCCUCCUGGGAUAACACUGACGCUCAUGCACGAAAGCGUGGGGAGCAAACAGG
rnacentral:rRNA from 4 species